AUUGAACGCUGGCGGCAGGCCUAACACAUGCAAGUCGAACGAGUGGCGGACGGGUGAGUAGUGUCUGGGAAACUGCAUGAUGGAGGGGGAUAACUACUGGAAACGGAAGCUAAUACCGCAUACCAUCGGAUGUGCCCAGAUGGGAUUAGCUAGUAGGUGGGGGAAAGGCUCACCUAGGCUAAUAUCCAUAUCUGGUCUGCGAGGAUGAACGGCCACACUGGAACUGAGACACGGUCCAGAAUCCUACGGGAGGCAGCAGUGGGGAAUAUUGCACAAUGGGCGCAAGCCUGAUGCAGCCAUGCCGCGUGUAUGAAGAAGGCCUUCGGGUUGUAAAGUACUUUCAGCGGGGAGGCGUUACCCGCAGAAGAAGCACCGGCUAACUCCGUGCCAGCAGCCGCGGUAAUUC
rnacentral:rRNA from 1 species